rnacentral:rRNA from 1 species
CCCUUAGAUGUUCUGGGCCGCACGCGCGCUACACUGAUGCAUUCAACGAGUCUAAAACCUGCCCUGAUAGGGGUGGGUAAUCUUUUGAAUGUGCAUCGUGAUUGGGAUAGAUGAUUGCAAUUUUUCAUCUUCAACGAGGAAUGCCUAGUAAACGCAAGUCAUCAGCUUGCAUUGAUUACGUCCCUGCCCUUUGUACACACCGCCCGUCGCUCCUACCGAUUGAAUGAUCCGAUGAAUAUCAUGGAUUGAGGAUGCAAGCAGGUUCGCCUGUCUUCAUCUUCGAGAAGUGAAGUAAAUCUUAUCAUUUAGAGGAAGGAGAAGUCGUAACA